AUGUACACAGUCCUCCAGAAAGCUGGACACACAGCCUGAAGAUGAACUUCCUGCCCUGCCUUCCUCUGACCCAACACCAGACUAAAGAGACAGAGACGCUCUGAGUCUUUGUGGGCAAGAAUGUAUGGCUCUGCCCGAGGCCCUCUGGGCAGCCCAGCCUCGGCCAGCCCAACGGGUUAAGAGGGUGCAACCGGAGAGGAGAAUCAGAGCCGCUACUACCCACCACCCCAGGAGGACCCUGCCUGUGGCCACUACCUCGUGGGUGUAGGUGCGCAGGGGCACCCCGAAGGCUCGAGCCAGUCCAAAGUCGGCCAGCUUGAUGGCCCCCAGCUCACUGAUGAGCAGGUUCUGGGGCUUCAGGUCGC